rnacentral:rRNA from 1 species
GGAUUUACUGGGUGUAAAGGGCGUGUAGGCGGGAGAGCAAGUCAGAAGUGAAAUCUAUGGGCUUAACCCAUAAACUGCUUUUGAAACUGUUCUUCUUGAGUAUCGGAGAGGCAGGCGGAAUUCCUAGUGUAGCGGUGAAAUGCGUAGAUAUUAGGAGGAACACCAGUGGCGAAGGUGGCCUGCUGGACGACAACUGACGCUGAGGCGCGAAAGCGUGGGGAGCAAACAGGAUUAGAUACCCUGGUAGUCCACGCUGUAAACGAUGAAUACUAGGUGUGGGAGGACUGACCCCUUCCGUGCCGCAGUUAACACAAUAAGUAUUCCACCUGGGGAGUACGAUCGCAAGAUUGAAACUCAAAGGAAUUGACGG